rnacentral:rRNA from 1 species
UACGGGGGGAGCAAGCGUUGUUCGGAUUUACUGGGCGUAAAGGGCGCGUAGGCGGCCAGUGCAAGUCAGUUGUGAAAUCUCCGAGCUUAACUCGGAAAGGUCAACUGAUACUGCUCGGCUAGAGUGCGGAGGGGGCAACUGGAAUUCUUGGUGUAGCGGUGAAAUGCGUAGAUAUCAAGAGGAACACCUGCGGCGAAGGCGGGUUGCUGGGCCGACACUGACGCUGAAGCGCGAAAGCUAGGGGAGCGAACGGG